rnacentral:rRNA from 1 species
GGGUUGUGAGGUUAAGCGACUAAGCGUACACGGUGGAUGCCCUGGCAGUCAGAGGCGAUGAAGGACGUGCUAAUCUGCGAUAAGCGUCGGUAAGGUGAUAUGAACCGUUAUAACCGGCGAUUUCCGAAUGGGGAAACCCAGUGUGAUUCGUCACACUAUCAUUAACUGAAUCCAUAGGUUAAUGAGGCGAACCGGGGGAACUGAAACAUCUAAGUACCCCGAGGAAAAGAAAUCAACCGAGAUUCCCCCAGUAGCGGCGAGCGAACGGGGAGCAGCCCAGAGCCUGAAUCAGUGUGUGUGUUAGUGGAAGCGUCUGGAAAGGCGCGCGAUACAGGGUGACAGCCCCGUACACAAAAAUGCACAUGCUGUGAGCUCGAUGAGUAGGGCGGGACACGUGGUAUCCUGUCUGAAUAUGGGGGGACCAUCCUCCAAGGCUAAAUACUCCUGACUGACCGAUAGUGAACCAGUACCGUGAGGGAAAGGCGAAAAGAACCCCGGCGAGGGGAGUGAAAAAGAACCUGAAACCGUGU